AGAGUUUGAUCCUGGCUCAGGAUGAACGCUGGCGGCGUGCCUAAGGUAUGCAAGUCGACCGUAUUCCGCUUGUCGGAAUUUGCGGGGCAGACGGCUGAGUAACACGUAAGAAUCUACCUUUAACUCGAGAACAAUCCCGUGAAAACGGGGCUAAUGCUCGAUAGUCCCACAUUCUGUAGUGGUUUGUGGGUAAAGCUUCGGUGGUUAAAGAGGAGCUUGCGUCCUAUCAGGUAGUUGGUGAGGUAAAGGCUCACCAAGCCUAUGACGGGUAACUGGUCUGAGAGGAUGAUCAGUCGCGAUGGGACUGAGACACGGCCCAUACUCCUACGGGAGGCAGCAGUAAGGAAUCUUCCACAAUGGACGAAAGUCUGAUGGAGCAACACCGCGUGGUUGAUGAAGCCCUUCGGGGUGUAAAGACCUUUUCUGGGAGAAGAAUUCUGACGGUAUCCUAGGAAUAAGCACCGGCUAACUCCGUGCCAGCAGCCGCGGUAAUACGGAGGGUGCAAGCGUUAUCCGGAAUCAUUGGGCGUAAAGCGUCCGCAGGCGGUUUGUUAAGUUGGGUGUUAAAUUUUGCAGCUCAACUGCAAAAAUACAUUCAAAACUGGCAAACUAGAGUACUUCAGAGGUACGUGGAAUUCUGUGUGUAGGGGUAAAAUCCGUAGAUACACAGAGGAAUACCAAAAGCGAAGGCAGCGUACUGGGAAGUCACUGACGCUCAGGGACGAAAGCGUGGGUAGCGAACGGGAUUAGAUACCCCGGUAGUCCACGCCGUAAACGAUGGAUACUAGUUGUUGGAGGACUCGACCCCUCCAGUGACGUCGCUAACGCAUUAAGUAUCCCGCCUGGGGAGUACGGUCGCAAGAUUAAAACUCAAAGGAAUAGACGGGGACCCACACAAGCGGUGGAGCAUGUGGUUUAAUUCGACGAUAAGCGAGGAACCUUACCUGGACUUGACAUCCCGAGAAUUUCCCCGAAAAGGGAAAGUGCCGCAAGGAACUCGGUGACAGGUGCUGCAUGGUUGUCGUCAGCUCGUGCCUUGAGGUGUUCGGUUAAGUCCGUGAACGAGCGCAACCCUUGUCCUGUGUUGUAUUUUCACAGGAGACUGCCGGCUUUAAGUCGGAGGAAGGUAAGGAUGACGUCAAAUCAGCAUGGCCCUUAUGUCCAGGGCUACACACGUGCUACAAUGGCAGGUACAAUAGGCAGCAAACCCGCGAGGGGGAGCCAAUCCUCAAAAACCUGUCCUAAGUUCGAAUUGAUGGCUGCAACUCGCCAUCAUGAAGUUGGAAUCGCUAGUAACCGCGUAUCAGCCAUGACGCGGUGAAUAUGUUCCUGGGUCUUGUACUCACCGCCCGUCACGUCAUGAAAGGUGGAGGCACCCGAAGUACCGUUAUCAUUUAUGAGCGGUCCUAAGGUGAAACCACUGAUUGGGACGAAGUCGUAACAAGGUAACC
rnacentral:rRNA from 1 species